GACUGUGUGGCCUAAUGGAUAAGGUGUCUGACUUUGGAUCAGAAGAUUGAGGAUGUGGAUCAAAAGAUUGAGGGUUCAAGUCCCUUCACAGCA
rnacentral:tRNA from 1 species